rnacentral:rRNA from 1 species
AGUGAACGCUGGCGGUAGGCCUAACACAUGCAAGUCGAACGGCAGCACAGGAGAGCUUGCUCUCUGGGUGGCGAGUGGCUGACGGGUGAGGAAUACAUCGGAAUCUACUCUGUCGUGGGGGAUAACGUAGGGAAACUUACGCUAAUACCGCAUACGACCUACGGGUGAAAGCAGGGGACCUUCGGGCCUUGCGCGAUUGAAUGAGCCGAUGUCGGAUUAGCUAGUUGGCGGGGUAAAGGCCCACCAAGGCGACGAUCCGUAGCUGGUCUGAGAGGAUGAUCAGCCACACUGGAACUGAGACACGGUCCAGACCCCUACGGGAGGCAGCAGUGGGGAAUAUUGGACAAUGGGCGCAAGCCUGAUCCAGCCAUACCGCGUGGGUGAAGAAGGCCUUCGGGUUGUAAAGCCCUUUUGUUGGGAAAGAAAUCCAGCUGGCUAAUACCCGGUUGGGAUGACGGUACCCAAAGAAUAAGCACCGGCUAACUUCGUGCCAGCCGCCGCGGUAA